rnacentral:rRNA from 1 species
AACGAACGCUGGCGGCAGGCUUAACACAUGCAAGUCGAACGCCCCGCAAGGGGAGUGGCAGACGGGUGAGUAACGCGUGGGAACAUACCCUUUUCUACGGAAUAGCUCUGGGAAACUGGAAUUAAUACCGUAUACGCCCUACGGGGGAAAGAUUUAUCGGGGAAGGAUUGGCCCGCGUUGGAUUAGCUAGUUGGUGGGGUAAAGGCCUACCAAGGCGACGAUCCAUAGCUGGUCUGAGAGGAUGAUCAGCCACAUUGGGACUGAGACACGGCCCAAACUCCUACGGGAGGAAGCAGUGGGGAAUAUUGGACAAUGGGCGCAAGCCUGAUCCAGCCAUGCCGCGUGAGUGAUGAAGGCCUUAGGGUUGUAAAGCUCUUUCACCGAUGAAGAUAAUGACGGUAGUCGGAGAAGAAGCCCCGGCUAACUUCGUG